rnacentral:rRNA from 1 species
AGAGUUUGAUUAUGGCUCAGGAUGAACGCUAGCUACAGGCUUAACACAUGCAAGUCGAGGGGCAGCAUUGGGGUAGCAAUACUCAGAUGGCGACCGGCGCACGGGUGAGUAACACGUAUCCAACCUGCCGCUUACUCGGGGAUAGCCUUUCGAAAGAAAGAUUAAUACCCGAUGGUAUAAAGAGUUCGCAUGUUCUCUUUAUUAAAGAAUUUCGGUAAGCGAUGGGGAUGCGUUCCAUUAGAUAGUUGGCGGGUAACGGCCCACCAAGUCUACGAUGGAUAGGGGUUCUGAGAGGAAGGUCCCCCACAUUGGAACUGAGACACGGUCCAAACUCCUACGGGAGGCAGCAGUGAGGAAUAUUGGUCAAUGGACGAGAGUCUGAACCAGCCAAAGUAGCGUGAAGGAUGACUGCCCUAUGGGUUGUAAACUUCUUUUAUAAGGGAAUAAAGUGAGGGACGUGUCCCUUUUUGUAUGUACCUUAUGAAUAAGGAUCGGCUAACUCCGUGCCAGCCGCGGC